rnacentral:rRNA from 1 species
CCUACGGGAGGCAGCAGUGAGGAAUAUUGGUCAAUGGGCGAGAGCCUGAACCAGCCAAGUCGCGUGAGGGAUGACUGCCCUAUGGGUUGUAAACCUCUUUUGUAUGGGGGGAAUAAGCUUUACGAGUAGAGUGAUGACAGUACCAUACGAAUAAGCAUCGGCUAACUCCGUGCCAGCAGCCGCGGUAAU